rnacentral:ncRNA from 2 species
UUAUUCAAAAUUUUUUAUUCUUGUAUAAUUUCAGGUAAGAGGGUCUGAACGUUUCUACCUGGCAGCCGAUAAAAUGCCAGACUACAAGAAAGUGUGUACAGCAA